CAUACAUAUUAGUAUGAAAUAAAACAACAGAAGCAUAAGAUGAAUAGCAUUACCUAACAAAUCUACAUAGCAUGUCUGAUAAAAUCAUGUGAUUGGGUAGAGAGAGAAAGAUGUCCAAAAGAUAAUGAGAAAAAAGCCAGCAAGGGAAGGUUUCCACGAAUCUCUGAAGUUUCCUUAGGCAAUUUGUUACAAUGCAUACGUGCCACAUGGAACAGUCAUUCCAGGUAAAAUGGCAUGGCUGUUGCUGGAGCUUGCUCCAACUUUGGCAGUCACGAACUUCUCUAGAAUGAAAAAACUGCUCUAACUAAGCUGCGCUUCUUAGGCCUAACUUCUACUCUGUGAUCCUUAGAAGAGAAGUGAGUCUCAGUAACCAUGCCUCAGAUAGCACUGCUCAUUUUCCAGACUUGGUGAUGGAUAGUGAGGACAUAAUGAUGAAUCACCUACCCAGCGCCAGGCUGUCGUUACGAGGUAUGUACAGUAUGAGACUCGGCCACAGUGCCACAUGCGGAAGCCGUCUAGACAGGCGGGGGGCAAGUUUCCGUGGAAAGACAGAUGCAGCGGUGGAGUGUGCCUCGCCCCCUACAAGGGCUCCACCAGUGAUGCAGAGAAACCCAUGGAUUCAAGCUCCUAAAUAUUUUUCAAGCUUCAUCAAUCACUUUGACAGCCAUUGGGAUAGAUCAGAGACCCAUAAAAGGCUGCAUUUUGGAUGAAAAAAGCAAUGCAGUGGAAAAGUGUUACAAAUGAAAGCUCUUCAUCAUCCUAUAUACAACCUACCUGGAUUUUCGUGUAUUCACAGAAAAAGAAAAAAGGGAUAAAUUUAAUUAGUGCAAUGACAGUAAGGACUGAAAAGGUCCAACAUAUAAAAAUCUUGGAAGUCAGCACUCUGCCCAAAACAAGAAAGAGCUGGGCAAACCAAACAUCAAUGACUUUUUUUGGUUCAUCAGAGAACUGAGGUCAUGGGGCAAACCAUCACUUCCAAAUCUGGGGAUAUAAGCACAUUCAGAGAUUUGCAGCAACUGAGAUCACCUGGAACAGGAGCCCUUGGAGUGGGAAUAGGAAGUAACAAAUGGUAAUUUAAAGACUGGUUGGAGGCUUUGCAUGUUAAUAAUAGCAAGUGAGUGAGAAAGUCCUGGGAAGCCAAAGUCUAGCACAGCCAUAAAAAAGUUGUGGAUCUUUCUCUCCAAGGAAACCUGCAAGGUU